ACUCCUACGGGAGGCAGCAGUGGGGAAUCUUGCACAAUGGGCGAAAGCCUGAUGCAGCGACGCCGCGUGCGGGAUGAAGGCCCUAUGCGUUGUAAACCGCUUUCAGCAGGGAAGAGGCCGCAAGGUGACGGUACCUGCAGAAGAAGCCGCGGCUAACUACGUGCCAGCAGCCGCGGUAAUACGUAGGCGGCAAGCGUUAUCCGGAUUCAUUGGGCGUAAAGCGCUCGUAGGCGGCUUGUUAGGUCGGGAGUCAAAUCGCGGCGCUCAACCGCGGCACGCUUCCGAUACCGGCAGGCUUGAGUUUGGUAGGGGAAAGUGGAAUUCCAAGUGUAGCGGUGGAAUGCGCAGAUAUUUGGAAGAACACCAGUGGCGAAGGCGGCUUUCUGGGCCAUAACUAACGCUGAGGAGCGAAAGCUAGGGGAGCAAACAGGAUUAGAUACCCUGGUAGUC
rnacentral:rRNA from 1 species